UACGUAGGGGGCAAGCGUUGUCCGGAUUUAUUGGGCGUAAAGAGCGUGUAGGCGGCCACACAGGUCUGCUGUGAAAACUCGAGGCUCAACCUCGAGCUGUCGGUGGAAACCGUGUGGCUAGAGUCCGGAAGAGGAGAGUGGAAUUCCCGGUGUAGCGGUGAAAUGCGCAGAUAUCGGGAAGAACACCCGUGGCGAAGGCGGCUCUCUGGGACGGUACUGACGCUGAGGCGCGAAAGCAUGGGUAGCGAACAGG
rnacentral:rRNA from 1 species